GGGGAAUAUUGGACAAUGGGCGAAAGCCUGAUCCAGCCAUGCCGCGUGUGUGAAGAAGGCCUUUUGGUUGUAAAGCACUUUAAGUGGGGAGGAAAAGCUAAUGAUUAAUACCCAUUAGCCCUGACGUUACCCACAGAAUAAGCACCGGCUAACUCUGUGCCAGCAGCCGCGGUAAUACAGAGGGUGCAAGCGUUAAUCGGAAUUACUGGGCGUAAAGCGAGCGUAGGUGGCUGUUUAAGUCAGAUGUGAAAGCCCCGGGCUUAACCUGGGAACUGCAUCUGAUACUGGACAGCUAGAGUAGGUGAGAGGGGAGUAGAAUUCCAGGUGUAGCGGUGAAAUGCGUAGAGAUCUGGAGGAAUACCGAUGGCGAAGGCAGCUCCCUGGCAUCAUACUGACACUGAGGUUCGAAAGCGUGGGUAGCAAAC
rnacentral:rRNA from 1 species